rnacentral:rRNA from 1 species
GACGAACGCUGGCGGCGUGCUUAACACAUGCAAGUCGAACGAUGAAGCCUAGCUUGCUAGGUGGAUUAGUGGCGAACGGGUGAGUAAUACGUGAGUGACCUACCUUUGACUCUGGGAUAAGCCUGGGAAACUGGGUCUAAUACCGGAUACGACCAAUCUCCGCAUGGGGUGUUGGUGGAAAGCGUUAUGGAGUGGUUUUAGAUGGGCUCACGGCCUAUCAGCUUGUUGGUGAGGUAAUGGCUUACCAAGGCGACGACGGGUAGCCGGCCUGAGAGGGUGACGGGCCACGAUGGGACUGAGACACGGCCCAGACUCCUACGGGAGGCAGCAGUGGGGAAUAUUGCACAAUGGGCGCAAGCCUGAUGCAGCGACGCCGCGUGAGGGAUGACGGCCUUCGGGUUGUAAACCUCUGUUAGCAUCGAAGAAGCGAAAGUGACGGUAGGUGCAGAGAAAGCGCCGGCUAACUACGU